AACCCGGUGAUCUAGCCAUGGGCAGGUUGAAGGUUGGGUAACACUAACUGGAGGACCGAACCGACUAAUGUUGAAAAAUUAGCGGAUGACUUGUGGCUGGGGGUGAAAGGCCAAUCAAACCGGGAGAUAGCUGGUUCUCCCCGAAAGCUAUUUAGGUAGCGCCUCGUGAAUUCAUCUCCGGGGGUAGAGCACUGUUUCGGCAAGGGGGUCAUCCCGACUUACCAACCCGAUGCAAACUGCGAAUACCGGAGAAUGUUAUCACGGGAGACACACGGCGGGUGCUAACGUCCGUCGUGAAGAGGGAAACAACCCAGACCGCCAGCUAAGGUCCCAAAGUCAUGGUUAAGUGGGAAACGAUGUGGGAAGGCCCAGACAGCCAGGAUGUUGGCUUAGAAGCAGCCAUCAUUUAAAGAAAGCGUAAUAGCUCACUGGUCGAGUCGGCCUGCGCGGAAGAUGUAACGGGGCUAAACCAUGCACCGAAGCUGCGGCAGCGACGCUUAUGCGUUGUUGGGUAGGGGAGCGUUCUGUAAGCCUGCGAAGGUGUGCUGUGAGGCAUGCUGGAGGUAUCAGAAGUGCGAAUGCUGACAUAAGUAACGAUAAAGCGGGUGAAAAGCCCGCUCGCCGGAAGACCAAGGGUUCCUGUCCAACGUUAAUCGGGGCAGGGUGAGUCGACCCCUAAGGCGAGGCCGAAAGGCGUAGUCGAUGGGAAACAGGUUAAUAUUCCUGUACUUGGUGUUACUGCGAAGGGGGGACGGAGAAGGCUAUGUUGGCCGGGCGACGGUUGUCCCGGUUUAAGCGUGUAGGCUGGU
rnacentral:rRNA from 1 species